CGUUUUCAUGUCGACCGAGUCGAUAUUACAUAUUUUACGAUAUCGCGUUUAUAAUCCGUUCCGGAACUUGAAUUCCUACAUUAUUUGUCUGGCGGCUUUUCUCAGACGUCAUAUUCGUCCGGAAAACCGGCUGUACCUGCAGUGGAAAAGUCAUUUCGUUCGAAUUCCAUGUGAUCGCAGACAAUUCGGUAAACCGUCUGCAUUAAUCCGCCCCCUUAAGUGCGCGGCGGGGCGAUUAAUGUACGUUCGCACUAGAAUUAUUCAAUUCAAAUAUU